GACGAACGCUGGCGGCGUGCUUAACACAUGCCAGUCGAGCGGUAAGGCCCUUCGGGGUACCCGAGCGGCGAACGGGUGAGUAACACGUGAGUAAUCUGCCCAUCACUUCGGGAUAACUCCGGGAAACCGGUGCUAAUACCGAAUAUGACCACUUCAGGCAUCUGAUGGUGGUGGAAAGUUCCGGCGGUGAUGGAUGAGCUCGCGGCCUAUCAGCUUGUUGGUGGGGUAGUGGCCUACCAAGGCUUCGACGGGUAGCCGGCCUGAGAGGGUGACCGGCCACACUGGGACUGAGACACGGCCCAGACUCCUACGGGAGGCAGCAGUGGGGAAUAUUGGACAAUGGGCGAAAGCCUGAUCCAGCAACGCCGCGUGAGGGAUGACGGCCUUCGGGUUGUAAACCUCUUUCAGCAGGGACGAAGCGCAAGUGACGGUACCUGCAGAAGAAGCACCGGCCAACUACGUG
rnacentral:rRNA from 1 species